CACUGCUCACUUCUGUUAUACAAUGCUGAUCUCAAAAGCUAAGUUAGAUUGGACCUGGUUAGCACUGGAUGGAAGACCGCUGGGAAUACAGAUGCAGCAGUGA
rnacentral:rRNA from 1 species